CACUCCUGCGGGAGGCAGCAGUGGGGAAUAUUGGACAAUGGGCGCAAGCCUGAUCCAGCCAUGCCGCGUGAGUGAUGAAGGCCCUAGGGUUGUAAAGCUCUUUCACCGGUGAAGAUAAUGACGGUAACCGGAGAAGAAGCCCCGUCUAACUUCGUGCCAGCAGCCGCGGUAAUACGAAGGGGGCUAGCGUUGUUCGGAUUUACUGGGCGUAAAGCGCACGUAGGCGGACUAUUAAGUCAGGGGUGAAAUCCCGGGGCUCAACCCCGGAACUGCCUUUGAUACUGGUAGUCUUGAGUUCGAGAGAGGUGAGUGGAAUUCCGAGUGUAGAGGUGAAAUUCGUAGAUAUUCGGAGGAACACCAGUGGCGAAGGCGGCUCACUGGCUCGAUACUGACGCUGAGGUGCGAAAGCGUGGGGAGCAAACAGGAUUAGAAACCCUGGUAGUCCCAU
rnacentral:rRNA from 1 species